UACAGAGGAUGCAAGCGUUAUCCGGAAUGAUUGGGCGUAAAGCGUCUGUAGGUGGCUUUUUAAGUCCGCCGUCAAAUCCCAGGGCUCAACUCUGGACAGGCGGUGGAAACUACCAAGCUGGAGUACGGUAGGGGCAGAGGGAAUUUCCGGUGGAGCGUGAAAUGCGUAGAGAUCGGGAAGAACAUCAGUGGCGAAGGCGGCCUGCUGGGCUGUUGCUGA
rnacentral:rRNA from 1 species